rnacentral:snoRNA from 1 species
UAGACUAUACUUUCAGGGAUCAUUUCUAGUUUUUAACUUGAGAAAUGUGCUCCUAAAGUGAUCAGUCUCGUUAACCACGAUGAUAAGGUACUGAUACUUCCUCUUGAGCGCGAAGCGGAAGAAGGGAAAUGAGUUAUUUCAUAUGCCUUUCUUCUUUGAUGACCGUUCACUGUUGCCUUGGUAACAGCGAGGGGGGAAGUAUGAUCAGAGUGGU